rnacentral:rRNA from 1 species
UACGUAGGUGGCAAGCGUUGUCCGGAAUUAUUGGGCGUAAAGAGCUCGUAGGCGGUCUGUUGCGUCUGCUGUGAAAACCCGGGGCUUAACCCCUGGCUUGCAGUGGAUACGGACAGACUGAGAGGUGGGUAGGGGAGAAUGGAAUUCCGGUGUAGCGGUGAAAUGCGCAGAUAAUCGGGAGGAACGACCGGUGGCGAAGGCGGUUCUCUGGGCCUUACCUGACGCUGAGGAGCGAAGCGUGGGGAGCGAACAGGAUUGAGAA